ensembl:snRNA U6 U6 spliceosomal RNA
AUGCUUGCUAUGGCAGCAUAAAUACUAAAAUUCAAGCCUACAGAGGAAAUUAGCAUAGCCCCUGUGUAAGGAUGACGUGAAGAUUCAUGAAGCAUUCCAUAUUUUU